rnacentral:rRNA from 1 species
AUGUCCCCGCAGCUUUUUGUGCUCGCCGUUGACACUCUGGGACGGCUCCUACGACGCGCACACAGCCUGGGCAUCCUGCAGCCUCUACACCCAUGUCGUCACAUCCCGGCGAUCUCCCUCUAUGCCGACGAUGUCAUGGUCUUCUGCCACGCCACGGUGGAGGACACCACUGCGAUCAAGGAAAUCCUUGCCUUGUUCGGCAGGGCUUCCAGCCUGACGGUGAACUUCACCAAAAGCUCUGCCACCAUCCUGCACGGCGACCAAGCGGCCACGGAGAUGAUCGCACACCUCGGCUGCUCGACGGCGAACCUUCCAAUCACCUACCUCGGCAUACCCAUGUCCACACGCCGCCCAUCCGCCACCCAGCUGCAGCCCAUGGUGGACGCGGUCGGCGCGCGCCUGCCGACAUGGAAGGCCUGGUUGAUGACUAAAACCGGGCGCCUCGCGUUGGUCAAGUCAGUCUUGUGUGCCAUCCCAGUGCACCAACUGUUUGCAUUCGCGCCCCCAAAAAAAACCCUCAAGCAGAUCGAGAAGAUCCAACGCAGCUUCCUCUGGGCUGGCCGUGCCACUGCCAAUGGUGGGCACUGCCAUGUGAACUGGAGCAGAGUGUGCCGCCCCAUCGAGCUCGGGGGCCUUGGCGUGCGAGAACUCGAGCGGGCCGGCCUCGCCCUGAGACUACGCUGGCUAUGGUUUUCCAGAAUGAACCCGGAGCGAGCUUGGCAAGGGCUCGACCUCCAAUUUUCGCCCACGGAAUGA